rnacentral:rRNA from 1 species
AACGAACGCUGGCGGCAGGCUUAAAACAUGCAAGUCGAACGCCCCGCAAGGGGAGAGGCGGACGGGGGAGUAAAGCGGGGGAAUCUACCCACCUCUGCGGAUAAGCUCCGGGAAACUGGAAUUAAUACCGACUACGCCCAACGGGGGAAAGAUUUAUCGGGGAUGGAUGAGCCCGCGUUGGAUUGGCUAGUUGGUGGGGUAAGGGACUACCAAGGCGACGAUCCAUAGCUGGUCUGAGAGGAUGAUCAGCCACAUUGGGACUGAGACAGGGCCCAAACUCCUACGGGAGGCAGCAGUGGGGAAUAUUGGACAAUGGGCGCAAGCCUGAUCCAGCCAUGCCGCGUGAGUGAUGAAGGCCUUAGGGUUGUAAAGCUCUUUCACCGGUGAAGAUAAUGACGGUAACCGGAGAAGAAGCCCCGGCUAACUUCGUGCCAGCAGCCGCCGUAA